rnacentral:pre_miRNA from 1 species
AAAGUACUCCCUCCGUCCCAAAAUUCUUGUCUUAGAUUUGACUAGAUACGGAUGUAUCAAGUCACAUUUUAGUAUUAGAUACAUCCGUAUCUAGAAAAAUCUAAGACAAGAAAUUUGGGACAGAGGGAGUAGUUG